GGUGAGCACUGCCAUUGCUUUUCCUUCAGCUCCAGGUGGGCAGGUGAGCACUGCCAUUGCUUUUCCUUCAGCUCCAGGUGUGCAGGUGAGCACUGCCAUUGUUUUUCCUUCAUCUCCAGGUGUGCAGGUGAGCACUGCCAUUGCUCUCCCUUCAGCUCCAGGUGGGCAGGUGAGCACUGCCAUUGCUCUCCCUUCAUCUCCAGGUGGGCAGGUGAGCACCGCCAUUGCUCUCCCUUCAGCUCCAGUUGCAUUUUCUUCAGCUGUGCCUUUGUGUCCACAGAGAAAUUCUGUCUUUACUCUUUUGGUCCCUGUCUGGGCUCUCCUGCUGUUAGAACUGUGUCCCUCAACCAUAAACAGAAGGAACGCAUGUACGCACAAGCACACGCAUGCGAGCGUGCACACACACACACACACACACACACACACACACGUAUUCUUUUUUAAAUCUAGCCUUUUGUCUCCUUAACAUUUAAAAAGGGGGUGACCCUGUCCUUCGCCUAUACUUAGCAUUUUGCACCAGACUGCUGGAGAGGAGGCCAGAGGCCUGCGGUCUCAGCCCGUGCUAUCUUUAUUUUUGUUUGGUUGAGCUGCACAGGCGGGUGACUGACACGCGAGCUUGCAGGGGCCUGCGUUCUGUGAACACUGUAGGAGGGAAAACUUGUAAAGCAGACUGAAGAAAAGAACUCACCCAGGGUCCCAGGUUUCUGGAAGAGGGACCAUUGCAGUGACAGGUCUGCCAAAAGGGAUACAGCUGCCUUUGAUUUCCAGAGACUCCAUCAGCCUGGGAAGAGUAGGAAGGCCCAGGAAAGUCAUCUCAUCCAGUGAGACUUGAGACUGUCACAAGCUAUCUACGGCCUGCGGCUUUGGCCCACACCUGAGAGUCAUUUUCCUCUACUGUUUGUUUCUGGGGCAUUCAUUCUCUGCCUCUCGGGACAGCUACAUUCCUGGCUUCCCCAGGCCUCAGUGCGGAGGGCUCUUGAGUGAUCAUCUUCUUGGACUGCCCCUGUGCACACUGGGACAUCUGUCUGCCCUUUACCUGCUCAUCUGUCCAAUUCAGUGACUCAACCCUCAGAGGACAGAGGGGACCUUCCUCUAAGAACUGCCUAUGAGCUGACUCCAGGACCCUGGGAGACACGGGGCUACAACUGACCUUGUGCCAGGAGCUUCCUGCUCCAGCUCCUCACCUUUCCUGCUCCAGGGAGCAGCCGAGACAGCCACUGCAGCUAGGCAGGAACUCGGUAGGCUGGGGACAGAGCCCCUUUGAAGAAGGGACAGGAGAAGGCAAGGUGUCUCACCUGCUCCAGCUGGACACACCCAGACGUUGUGGACAGGGUGAGACCCCAGGCCUACCUUGGAGAAGGUUCAGGCGUCAGGCCAGGCAUGCUAUAGCGCAAGCUGCGACACUGGGAGCCAUGUACGGGCUUCCAGGUGGGACUCUCGCCAAGGCAGGGGGUGGACAAUGGGCAGCUCUGUCCCCAUAGCUCUCGGGCGUGUAAAGGGCACCAUGAAGCCAAGCCUGGUGACUCAGCCCUGUAAUCCCAGUCGCUUGAGAGGCUGAGGCAGGAGGAUGAUCAAUUCAAGCCUAGUCUGGGCAAUUCAAUGGUGAGACCCCUGUCUCAAAAUAAAUAAAUAAAUAAAAAAUGUUGGGGUUGUA